UUUACAACAGAGGCAGGCAUAGAUGCAAGCUCUCUCUGAGGAAAUAUGCGGGAAAUGGUUUAGGUUUUGUGGUUUGAAUUGAAACUGAAGUCGGUUACUUUGAGCUGGAAGGUGUAGGUAUUCCCUACAAUAUCAGCAAGGGAUUGAGGGAGAUCAGUAUCAACCUUAGCAUCAACACCUGAACCCUGCAAAGCGGGAAACAUCUUUAUAUACAAAAUCAAGACACAAAAUAAUAGCAAAAGUUAAUAGGUAGUGUACUUGAUUAAAGGUCAUACCACAAUUUGUACAGCUUCAGAAGCUUGAAUGUUUGUAAGUUUAUCAACCUCCAUAUCAAAAGCUAGGAAAGCCGCUGAAUCAGUGUGGUCAGACACAGACAAUGCCACCAUGUAGCUAUUGUCAAUGAAAGAAUAAAUCUUCGAAAUUUAGUCUCUUGUAAUAUAUGCCACUGAUUUACAAUAUGGGGAAGAGGCAUAGUUCAAAGCUUUUUACCUGAGGGAAGCCACAUCAUUAGCAAACCCCAUUUGGUAGCCAAUAUAACACCAACUAUCAUCUUGCUGAAUUCCUGUUAAUUUUAGCUAUGAACAGAAACUCAAUUAUCUGUGUAUUGUAGAAGUAGCAUCUAAUUCAGCAGAUAAAUCUAAAAGGAGCUAUAAUUUAGACUAACCACACUUCUUCACCUGAGGCUCGACAGUGAUACUUUAUCUAACCAGUAUGAACGGGACUGUCCUUUCGAACUCUUCUUUUCCUGCAGCUGUCUCCAAUCAAAGUAGAGAUGGGUGGCAUUAAGAUAUAACCGGCUUGUCAAAAACAUACGGAGUUUAUUUAAGAAGUUAGAAGGAUAAAAAUAGUCUAUGCCAUGAAUUAGACGAAAGCUAUUUGUAAAUGCAAUAAUAGUCAUAAACAUUUACUUUUCUUACCCCCAACUAUCUUGGGAUUGAUGCUGGUGACAAGCACAAUUUUUGGCUCUCUCCAGUAACUUUCAAAUUUGUUAUGGAUUGCAAGAGCUAAAGAAUCGAACAUACUAACAUAAACGUUUACAUCCCUGCAAUGAAGCGUUGAUAUCAAGUCACAUCAGGUACAGGUUGGAGUAUAGAGGAUAACAAAUGAUGACCUAACAGUCGAAACUACCUCUCUAGACGUAAAUUAAGCAUUACACGUUGUGGCCCCGGUAAACGGUCGGUGAUUGUGCUCCUGAUUGCACUUAGCUCACCAAGUAUGUAUAGGACAUUGUUUAAUUGGAAAAUGUUUACAGAUGAUAUCACAAAAACCAAA
rnacentral:lncRNA from 1 species